rnacentral:rRNA from 1 species
AACGAACGCUGGCGGCGUGGAUUAGGCAUGCAAGUCGAACGGAUAUUUAGCUUUUUCGAAUAUUAGUGGCGAAAGGGUGAGUAACACGUGGGAAACCUGCCCUAGAGAUCGGGAUAACCUAUCGAAAGAUGGGCUAAUACCGGAUACGUUACAUCUCUGAAAUGAGAUGUUGGAAAGAUGGGGACCUCUUCGGAGGCCUGUCACUCUUGGAUGGGCCCGCGGCCUAUCAGCUAGNGGUGAGGUAAUGGCUCACCAAGGCAAAGACGGGUAGCUGGUCUGAGAGGAUGGUCAGCCACACUGGAACUGAGAACGGUCCAGACUCCUACGGAGGCAGCAGUAGGGAAUUUUCCGCAAUGGGCGAAAGCCUGACGGAGCAACGCCGCGUGCAGGAGAA